UUAGGAAUCUUCCACAAUGGGCGAAAGCCUGAUGGAGCGACGCCGCGUGAGGGAUGAAGGCCUUAGGGUUGUAAACCUCUAAAAGAGGGACGAUAAUGACGGUACCUCUUGAAUAGCACCGGCUAACUCCGUGCCAGCAGCCGCGGUAAUACGGAGGGUGCAAGCGUUAUCCGGAAUCACUGGGCGUAAAGGGCGCGUAGGCGGUCUGUUAAGUCCGAUGUUAAAUCCCGGGGCUCAACCCCGGAUAAGCGUUGGAUACUGGCAGGCUAGACGGUUGGAGAGGCGAGUGGAAUUACCAGUGUAGCGGUGAAAUGCGUAGAUAUCAGGAGGAACACCGGUGGCGAAGGCGGCCUUCUGGACGGCUACUGACGCUGAGACGCGAAAGCGUGGGGAGCAAACA
rnacentral:rRNA from 1 species